AUGUCUGUAAUCCUAGCUACUUGGGAGGCUGAGGCAGGAGAAUCGCUUGAACCCAGAAAGUGGAGGUUGCAGUGAGUCGAGAUCACUCCAUUGCACUCCAGCCUGGGCAACAAGAGGAAAACUCCGUAACAAAGAAAGAAAGAGAGAGAGAGAGAAGGAAGGAAGGAAAGGAAGGGAGGAAGGAAGGAAGGAAGGAAGGAAGGAAGGAAGGAAGGAAGGAAGGAAGGAAGGGAGAGAGGAAGAAAGGAAAGAAAAGAAAGAAAGAAAGAGAAAGAAAAAGAAAGAAAGAAAGAAAGAAAGAAAGAAAGAGAAAGAAAGAGAAGAAAGAAAAAAGAGAAAUGACUAUGUCUAGAGAAAAAGAUCUAGUGGGCAAACUAUAAGUGAGUAAAUCAGGCUAGUAGCAAACAUAUUCAGGAACCACCAUGAUAAAAUGUGGCUGCUUAUCUUUCCUGUUUGAACAGGAGGUCACAGUUUUGCUAUAUAGAGUUGAAAGGUUGUAUAGACAGGAUGUGUUAAUUUGAGUUAGAAUUCAUCUGGGGCACCUGGACAGUUAAUCCAUCUCUGGGCUUCAGGAAUCCAAUACUACCCUAAGAACACUGUUGUAGAAUGUAUACGGCAUGCUGGACAUGGAAAUCGGCUUGCUCCAUUGGUGGUGGGGCAUAGAGAGGUUCAUGUCAGCCCAGCACAUCCCCAGGAACUAUACCAGUUUCCUUAUUGCCCAAGCCAAUAUCUACAAUGCAAAGCAUCUUUCAACUGUAAUUUAGGAGGACUAUGAGCUGGCCACCUGAGUUUUUGCUUGCAGUUCAGGAACUAUUGCUAAAAAUGCAUUUUAUGGUGAAACAAGGGAUUAGCUAAUCUUUCAGGCUAACAGAGGACCAGCUACAAAUGUUUCCUGUGUGUAUUGUGAAACUCUGAGAUAACAGAGAAGUUCCUUAUUGCCCUCUGAAUUUCCCUUCCCCCAGGACCUCCACUGGUCACACAAGCCAUUAUCUGAGACAAGCUGACCAGAGCGUGAUGCUAUAACUUUUUUUGUUCAUACUUCCAAAUUAAAUCUGGUUAGAAAAAUAAAUGGCUAGAAAGUAUUUAAAUCUUGUCUUGAAUCUUGGAGGAAUUUACUUAUUUUUCUUCAUCUGUUGGCUACCCUUCUUUAAAAAAAAAAUUAUUAUUAUUUUUUUUGAAACGGAGUUUUGCUCUUGUUGCCCAGGUUGGAAUGCAAUGGUGCGAUCUCAGCUCAACGCGACCUCUGCCUCCCGGGUUCAAGCGAUUCUCCUGCCUCAGCCUCCCGAGUAGCUGGGACCACAGGUGCCCGCCACUACACCCAGAUAAUUUUAUAUUUUUAGUCUCAAACUCCUGACCUCAGGUGAUCUGCCCACCUUGGCCUCCCAAAGUGCUGGGAUUACAGGCGUGAGCCAUUGCGCCCGGCCAGUUUUAUUUUUUAUUAACAAACUCAUUCUCUGGAUAUUCUGGAGACAAAAGCAAAACACCCAAGAAAAUGGGCACUUAGGCAAUAAGAACUCAGACCCCUGUGGUUUGCUACAAAUGUACUCACUAACAGAGCACAUGCUGCCACCCUUAAGUUUCACACAUGCUGCCAAGACCAAAGGUCCACUUUGAUGACUAAAUGGGUAAAGAUAUGGGAAUUUCCCAACCACAUUGUUCCACUUCAUAUCUUCUUCUUUCUCUUCUCAUUUUAUUUUCACUGCAGACCAGAGUGAAGACAAAUGUGUAUUACUUGGUAGCUUAUGAACAGCAAGGAAAAACUGACUGGCAACCGCCAUGGAAAGGUGUGAAACCGUAACCACGAGGACUCUCACAUUUACAUGUUACUGACUAGCGAAUGUCUAGGCCUAAAACAUCUGCCCUCUUAUAGCUGUUUUAUUAUUAUGUAAACAUGGCUACAAGAUUUCUGACAUAAAAUAGUAGAUGACUCAGUGUCUUCAAAUGAUUAAUUGCUGGUUUUUUUGCCUGACCUCUUUCUUCAUUUCUUCAAUAAUAAAUCUAUUGUCAUGCAUUGAAUUACGGAAGACUGAAGCUCCCAAAUGCUGGGCCUGAAAAUGCACUCACUCUCUCCAACAGCAUGCGGGUGUUUCUCAUUAGUUUCAUAAGUGCCAAGAAAAUUUCAAAAUGAUACCAAACAAGAAUAUUUUAAAUUUUAUCACAUUACCAGCUAAGAAAUCUGUAAGCACAUUGUUAAUUCACUUAUAUUCAUCGCACAGCAAAACAAAUAUGGCAUUUCAAAACUGAGAAAGUUAAAGCCUCCUAUAAGAAGUCUAUAGCCACCGUUUCUUGAGUCCUGUCUUCAUAUCUCAUUCCUCCCAGAGCACAUCUCUCACCAAGGUUCCUGUUAGAUUCCAUUCUGGUUUGUGUCUUUGUGGAGGCAUGUCUGUCCGUAGCCAAGACACAGAGGGCUAGACUGGUUGUAACACAAAUCAGAAAUUUCUGCCUUGCAGCUGCCUGGGGAAGUAACAGUUAAUUGAGCGUGGGAGCUGUGUGUAGACCCUCAAGACUAACAGUUAAGAGGCAAGGUUUCAGUAAAAAUGUUUAGAAGCUGCAUACCACACAGCUGGAAAUGAAGGGCAGAGCUGUUUUCUGGGGAAUUUGAAUUAUGUGUACAUCCAAUCGAGAACAAUAAAUGAAUUUGUGUCCAGCAAUAAUAAUCCCUCAGUUAUAGAUAGACAUACCAUUUAUGCAGCACUUCCCAUGAAUUCUGUCUCACUGAGCCUCACAACAGUUCUGUGCAUACAAGGCUGUUAAUUGCAAGCCAUUUUAUUUAUUUAUUUAUUUAUUUUGAGAAGGAGUUUAGCUCUGUCGCCCAGGCUGGAGUGCAGUGGUGUGAUCUCAGCUCACUGCAACCUCCGCCUCCCAGGUUCAAGCAAUUCUCCUGCCUCAGCCUCCAGCGUACCUAGGAUUACAGGCAUGUGCCACCAUGCCUGCAAUUUUUGUAUUUUUAGUAGAGAUGGGGUUUCACCAUGUUGGCCAGGCUAGUCUUGAACUUCUGACCUCAGGUGAUCCACCCGCCUCGGCCUCCCAAAGUGCCAGGAUUACAGGCAUGAGCCUCCAUGCCCGGCCAUCAUGUCAUUUUAGAGAUAAGAACUCCAAGGCUGCAGGAGAUGAAAUAGUUGGUUCCCUUUUGAACUAGAUGUGAGUGGCAAGCUGGGGAUCACAUUCAGGUUUUCUGAGGGUACUUUUUACUAAGCAGGAUGCCUCUGUCCUCAAAUCCAGGUUAAGGAAUUCACCCCCUUAACCGGCUUUCCAUUUGACAAAGUGAGAGUCCUAUUAAUCUAAUACUGAACUUCUGUUAGUCCAUUUCCAUUGUACUGAAACACAAAAGACAAAUUCCCAUCAUUAAGAAAGUUGUAACAAGGGGGAUAUUUAUGUCUCUCUCCCCGUCCUGCUUUGUAUUCUCUUUUUAUUUUUUUCAUUGCUUUUGUAAUUCAGAUUGUAUUAGAAAUUAGAGGAAGGUUGAAACUAGGUAUAUGGUGACCAAGGUGUGGAAGAUGGAAUUCAUCCUCUUUUCUCCAGGUUUUUUGAGUGGAAGUUCUGACAAUAGGGACAGUUGUGUCACUGUGUUCUAUGCAGUGUCAUUUUAUUUUCCUGAAAACAUUUGUCCUUGCUACAAGUAGAUUAGAGGUUAGAAUGCAGGAUUGGCAGGCAGGAUUUGUGGUUUCUAUUUUUAGCCCUGCCACAAUUUUAUUGCACAAGGGUGAGUCCUAAGCAGUGUGGUUUAUUGGAGAGAGAACUCGAUUGGAACUGGCUCUCCUGUGAAUGAAUGAUACUGAGCACCAUAGCUGAGCAUCAGCCGAGAGGAAGGGUCCAGACUAGUGUGAGCCCCUCCAUCACCAAAUACAAGCGUUCCUAUAACUAAUGUAUGUGAUUCACUACUCUGCAGGAGGACCUGCA
rnacentral:lncRNA from 1 species